UUGAACGCUGGCGGCAUGCUUUACACAUGCAAGUCGAACGGUAACAGGCCUUCGGGUGCUGACGAGUGGCGAACGGGUGAGUAAUACAUCGGAACGUACCCAGAGGUGGGGGAUAACGCAGCGAAAGCUGUGCUAAUACCGCAUGUGAUCUGAGGAUGAAAGCGGGGGACCGAGCAGCAAUGUUUGGCCUCGCGCCUUUGGAGCGGCCGAUGUCGGAUUAGCUAGUUGGUGGGGUAAAGGCCUACCAAGGCGACGAUCCGUAGCUGGUCUGAGAGGACGACCAGCCACACUGGGACUGAGACACGGCCCAGACUCCUACGGGAGGCAGCAGUGGGGAAUUUUGGACAAUGGGCGCAAACCUGAUCCAGCAAUGCCGCGUGCGGGAAGAAGGCCUUCGGGUUGUAAACCGCUUUUGGCAGGAACGAAACGGUGUCCGCUAAUACCGGGCGCUAAUGACGGUACCUGCAGAAUAAGCACCGGCUAACUACGUG
rnacentral:rRNA from 1 species